ACUCACUGGAUCCUGACACAAGAUACUCCUCACUCAGAAUUUCUAAAGGUGCUUCUGACCAGAGUGGCUCACAAGGAUCACUUCCCUGAAACAGGUUUUUGGCAAUUGAUCUAUGUGCGGCAGAUCUGUUUCAGCCUGUCACAUGACCACAACAUUGACUAUUUCUCUAAUGAUACCCUUUGUUUCAGAGCUGGGCUGACUCAUUUCAAACAGGUGUGAUGUGAAGAAAAACAUUCAUGUUUUGAUUUGGCUUUGGUUCAGGGAAGUACUGCCUAGAUAAAUUGUCAAAAUGUAACCAGACCAGCAACUCUGAGUGGUUUUUGUCUUGAAGAGUCAUUGGACAGCAUGCUUUCUUCCUGAAAUAGUACUUCAUUCCUAAAUGGAAUGCAUACAUCUUGUGGACACAUUUAAUGGUACUAAUGUGAAUAUGUAUGAUGUUUCAGUCUCUGCCAUCUAUUUCACCUGCUGAGUGUUCAUCUCAAAUUCGGCAUAAUGCUUUUGUCCAGCUUUUUUGUCCAGAUCAGCAACACAGAUUGCUUCAAGAAGUUAACUGAUUUUAUGAGAAGAUGUAACUGAACAAUCCUAUAAAAGUGGAGAGAAUAUUCAUCUUUUCGGAGAACUGUACAGCCAUCAUCCAUAUGUCUUCAGGAUAACUUCUGGCUAUAAAAAUGUUUGUCAGUUUAGAUUAUCUACACAUGAGGCUUGUGUUAGUUGUUUUUUGUGCUAUAUAAUUUAAUUCAAAUUGAUCCUGGUGGAAAUAUUGGCAUCAAAAAUCCCAGUUUUUUGAGAAAUCAUUAUUCUUGGUUACUCUGGUACUAAGCAUACAAAUUUUUACUUUAAAAAUAGAAUUUUAAAAGCUGUUCUUACUAAAAUACUGCUGAUGCUCACAAUAAAGUUUUGCAUGCAGAAUACUGACUCAUCUACAGUGUGAAUAUAUCCCAGUGAAAUCAAUGUAAUACUAGAUAGAUAAAAACACUUAAUGAAGAUCAAGAUCUAGUGCUGAGUGCACACAUAACUAAGGAAAUAAAAGUUUAGCCCUGACCUUGUAAGCACUAAGGCAUUUAAGCAACUUAGCAAAUGUCUCUACUCCUUAGUGACACACAGUGUGGAAAAUUGCUCAUGUUAAACACAGAAGCAGAAACAUUUUCAGUCCUUGAGACAACACUGGACAGCACUCAGUAGCUUUAGUCUGGCACCACGCUAAUGUGCAGUCAUAGUUCAGUAGCUCAGCUGACACCUCUCUGCAGCAGGUUUAGGCUGCAAUGUCUGAUCCCUGAAUCUCUCUUAAUUACACAGCAAGAAUACAACACACCACCUCUGAUUUUUUCAGUCUUGACACAUGUGCCUUUUAAUGUUUUAAUUUUAAAUCAUAAAAUUAAAAUACCCCUUUGGGGUAGCAAAAUAAUUUAAAUUAGGUUUAUAAAGGGUUUAUGACAAUGAAACCAUUAAUAUAUUUUUACAUUAUGGUGAUCAAAAGUCAUUCAGUUAAAAUGUCUUCCUGCAUCAGUUUCUGUUAUUUUUUUUAGAAUAAUGAUAAGAUGGGUAAGUUGCAUAUUUCUGAUUUUUCAGUUUAUUCUUUUCAGAGUAUUUUAAAGUAAACAGGAGGUGAGGUGGAGAAAAAUAUAAACUACUACUUGUAUGUUUACAAGACUGCAGACUUUAAUGUGUUAUAAAAUAAUCAUUGACAAGAACUUCUACCUGUGCUGGUUUUUGAUAUCAUCUUCAAUGAGUCUUUAAAUAUUAUUGAAUUAUAAGUCAUGAAAGUCUUUUAUUUGAAAGUCAGUUUCUACACAACUAAUUGGAGCAUUUGGAGUUGAAGCAUUUUCUUCUGCAUUUGCAAACUUAAAUGCCUACAUUUUUUGUUUCCUGACACAUAGAAUGUUAUCAUUAAUUUUUUAUUUCCAAUUACAUUGCUGUGGACUCUUCUGCUAUCAGUGUUGUUCAAUAGGUUGAAAAGUGAGCAGAGUAUCUGCUACUACAUGGGUACUGUAUAGGUAUAUAGUGCUUUUAUUGGUGACUGAAAUUUAUUCACAGAUUUUCCAUGAACGUAAAUGUGUUACUAAUUCAGUUUGUUUACAGAACACACUUUAACCUUAUUUUUAAAUGUGCUGUAUAUUACUUAAAUGUCAAUCAGGAUGUGAUAUGUGGUCCCAGAAAUAAGAGCUUCAAAGUCUUCACCAUUAGUAGAUAAAAUGUUUUCCACUAUUGCAGUUUUAAUUGUCUCUAUAAUUCUCUUCUCACCACAGAAAUAUUUGAGUGACUUUUCAGAUUUAUUGAUGUACAUACAAACAAAAUUUACUGACAUUUUGACAUGAGAGACUUCUAGAGUUCCUUCAAAUAAUUUGAGAUAUACAAAAUCAAGAAUAAGAGGAUAAGUUGUUCUAAGCACCUUCUAGGUUUUUUUCAGUGGUAAGCUCAUACCUGUAGAAGAUUAAUACAUAAUAUCUGAGCAUAUAGAUGUCUUGAUAAUAACAAAAAAAAAAGGCAACAAAAAAACCUCACCCUACUCUGUCAUUUUGCUCAAAGGCAAUCUUUUAUACUCUAAGAUAGAAAUUUCUUGAGCAGAUGAAGUAUUAUAGAAAUUUCUUGAGCAGAUGAAGUAUUAUUUCUGUGUAUUGAUAAAGGGUUCAAAGAAAAAUAAUCUUCUUCUUUUUCUGAAUCUUUCAAAACACAACAAUGAAUAAUAGGAGAGUUCUCAGACCAUCUAUUUCUCUCGUG